UUAAAGGCAAUGAAGGAAAGAAAAAGGUAAAACUAUUAAUAAGAGAGCGCAUAAAUGGUGAAAGUGCGUAAUAGAUAAUAACUAUAUAAAUGGUUCUGGAGCUUUUUAACUGAAUAAUUAGGUUGAAACGGUAGCUACGUUAUAGCACAAGAGCAUAUAUAUUUAUAUAUGAAUUAAGGUGGUACCGCGGUUAUAAUCGUCCUUUAA
rnacentral:ncRNA from 1 species